AACGAACGCUGGCGGCAUGCCUAACACAUGCAAGUCGAACGAGACCUUCGGGCCUAGUGGCGCACGGGUGCGUAACGCGUGGGAACCUGCCCUUAGGUUCGGAAUAACUCCCCGAAAGGGGUGCUAAUACCGGAUAAUGUCUUCGGACCAAAGAUUUAUCGCCUUUGGAUGGGCCCGCGUUGGAUUAGCUAGUUGGUAGGGUAAAAGCCUACCAAGGCGACGAUCCAUAGCUGGUCUGAGAGGAUGAUCAGCCACACUGGGACUGAGACACGGCCCAGACUCCUACGGGAGGCAGCAGUGGGGAAUAUUGGACAAUGGGCGAAAGCCUGAUCCAGCAAUGCCGCGUGAGUGAUGAAGGCCUUAGGGUUGUAGAGCUCUUUUACCCGGGAUGAUAAUGACAGUACCGGGAGAAUAAGCUCCGGCUAACUCCGUG
rnacentral:rRNA from 1 species